rnacentral:misc_RNA from 1 species
GAACUGCGAUAAGCAAUGCGAAUUGCAGAAUUCCGCGAGUCAUCAGAUUUUUGAACGCAACUGGCGCUUAAGGGCUUUCCUUUAAGCAUGCUUGUUUCAGUGUGUUUGUUUACCAAUCACAAAUCUAAAUGCAAUUGAAGCUUUUUUAAGCUUCUCUUGUUAAAUAUGAGAGAUGGGCUGGCAUGUCUUGAGCCCAAUGAAGCGGUCACUUGAAAAAGUGAUUUCAUUGGAAAUGCUUUAGAUUUUGCCUGAAAAUAUUGCCUUCUCAUUUUAAAAUAUUUCUCCAAUUAGCACCUGAGAUCAAGCAAGAUUACCCGCUGAACUUAA